AUGGUUUGCUUGGGAAUAGCAUUUGGUUGGGUCGUAAUCGUAUGUGUGGUUGGGGUGUCGACGGUCCACCGACGGACGGACGGACGGACGCAAAGGAAAAAGGCCGACCGCAACGAUUUAGCCGCUACCUGCCUGCAACGAACGACCAAGCAUCAACCACGUGACGUGAGGCGCUGGGCAACUCUCUUCUUGCUUUGUUAUGCGAAAAACUGCACGUUUAGAUACUCCAAAUGGGCGGGACUACCUUGUCCCGGAAAAGAUGGCUCGUUCCAGCUACGGAUGGUGUUUCCGUUUUGUUUCUGGUGUUCGUUGGGAGAUAUGAUUCGUUUUGCCAAAAAUAAAAGAGGGAAAAAACUCAAUUUUCUCAGUUCCGUUUGGUCUGCCAAAAGAGAAAAUUGA
rnacentral:rRNA from 1 species